rnacentral:tRNA from 4 species
UCUAUUAUGGCAGAAUAGUGCAAUGGACUUAAACCCCAAAUAUAAAGGCUAGCCUUUUUAUAGAA